rnacentral:rRNA from 1 species
UUGGAGGGCAAGUCUGGUGCCAGCAGCCGCGGUAAUUCCAGCUCCAAUAGCGUAUAUUAAAGUUGUUGCAGUUAAAAAGCUCGUAGUUGAAUUUCGAGACCGGUUUAUUGGUCGUGCUUUUGUACGUACUGGUAUUAUUGGUUUCUCCUUUCUGACGAAUCUUAAUGCCAUUAAUUUGGUGUUUUGGGGAAUCAGGACUGUUACUUUGAAAAAAUUAGAGUGUUUAAAGCAGGCUCACGCUUGAAUACAUUAGCAUGGAAUAACGGAAUAGGACGUUUGAUUCUAUUUUGUUGGUUUCUAGGAUCGACGUAAUGAUUAAUAGGGAUAGUUGGG